rnacentral:rRNA from 1 species
AAACCUAGCUCAGCCACAAACACAAAAUCAAACAAACAAAAUUAUCCUAACCAAAAUCAACUAAAACAUUUUCACAUCUUAGUAUAGGCGAUAGAAAAGACACUUGAAGCAAUAGAAAUAGUACCGCAAGGGAAAGAUGAAAAACAAUGAAACACUCACUUAAGCCCCAAAAAGCAAAGAUUAAUCCUUAUACCUUUUGCAUCAUGAUUUAGCCAGCAUAUUCAAGCAAAGAGCCCUAAAGCUUGAACCCCCGAAACCAAAUGAGCUACUUAAAGGCAGCCCAAAAGGCAAAUCCGUCUCUGUGGCAAAAGAGUGGAGAGACCUAUAAGUAGAGGUAAAAAGCCUAACGAACCUGGUGAUAGCUGGUUGCUCAAUAAAAGAAUAUAAGUUCAACCUUAAACCUUCUAUAAAACAAACUAAAGUAAAAAGAAAAGUUUAAGAUUUAUUCAAUGAGGUACAGCCCAAUUGAAAAAGGACACAACCUACAACGAAGGACAAAACACCAAACAUAUAACACCGUAGACCCUAAAGCAGCCACCACUAAAGAAAGCGUCAAAGCUCACCACCAAUUACUAAAAAUAACAACAUAAAAGUUUUCUCCCCAACAAAUAUGAGCCACUCUACCUAAAUAGAAGAACUAAUGCUAAAAUGAGUAACAAGAAGAUAAAACUUCUCUAGCGCGCUAGCUUAAGUUAUAAUAGACAAACUACUAACUAUUAACAGCCAACUAUAAUAAUAACACUUACUUAAAACACCAUAUAAAUCCAACUGUUAACCCAACACAGGAGCGCACACAAGAAAGAUUAAAAUUUGUAAAAGGAACUAGGCAAAUAAAGAGCCCGACUGUUUACCAAAAACAUAGCCCUCAGCAACAUACAAGUAUUAGGGGUAAUGCCUGCCCAGUGACAUUGUUAAACGGCCGCGGUAUCCUAACCGUGCAAAGGUAGCGUAAUCACUUGUCUCUUAAAUAAAGACUAGAAUGAAUGGCCAAACGAGGUUCUACCUGUCUCUUACAAACAAUCAGUGAAAUUGAUCUUCCCGUGCAAAAGCAGGAAUAAUAUUAUAAGACGAGAAGACCCUGCGGAACUUCAAAUACAAAUCAACUACAAUUAACAUCCACCUACGGGCCUACACAUCAAAUUAGCACCUGAUCUAUAUUUUUGGUUGGGGUGACCUCGGAGCAAAAUAAAACCUCCGAAAAUAGAACUACUAUCUAAACCUAGACCUACAGCCCAAAGUGCUUUCAGCAAAACGAUCCAAUAUAUUUGAUCAACGAAUCAAGCUACCCCAGGGAUAACAGCGCAAUCCCAUCCUAGAGUUCCUAUCGACGAUGGGGUUUACGACCUCGAUGUUGGAUCAGGACAUCCUGAUGGUGCAACCGCUAUCAAGGGUUCGUUUGUUCAACGAUUAACAGUCCCACGUGAUCUGAGUUAAACGGAGA